UGGGUGCAUUUUCCAGGCACGCAAACGCCC
rnacentral:piRNA from 1 species